CCUACGGGUGGCAGCAGUGAGGAAUAUUGGUCAAUGGACGAGAGUCUGAACCAGCCAAGUAGCGUGAAGGAUGACUGCCCUAUGGGUUGUAAACUUCUUUUAUAUGGGAAUAAAAUGUUCCACGUGUGGGAUUUUGUAUGUACCCUAUGAAUAAGGAUCGGCUAACUCCGUGCCAGCCGCCGCGGUAAUACGGAGGAUCCGAGCGUUUUCCGGAUUUAUUGGGUUUAAAGGGAGCGUAGGUGGAUUGUUAAGUCAGUUGUGAAAGUUUGGGGCUCAACCGUAAAAUUGCAGUUGAAACUGGCGGCUUUGAGGACAGUAGAGGUGGGCGGAAGUCGUGGUGUAGCGGUGAAAUGCUUAGAUAUCACGAAGAACUCCGAUUGCGAAGGCAGUUCACUGGACUGCAACUGACACUGAGGCUCGAAAGUGUGGGUAUCAAACAGGAUUAGAUACCCGGUAGUC
rnacentral:rRNA from 1 species